rnacentral:SRP_RNA from 15 species
UCAGGUCCGAAAUGCAGCAGCACCAGGUAA